rnacentral:tRNA from 1 species
GCGGGAGUCGCCCAGCCUGGUCAAAGGCGCAGGACUCAAGAUCCUGUUGGUUAGUCCAUUCGCAGGUUCGAAUCCUGCCUCCCGCACCA